rnacentral:tRNA from 1 species
GGGCUAUUAGCUCAGCGGUAGAGCGCGCCCCCAAAACGGGCGAGGUCUCUGGUUCAAGCCCAGGAUGUCCCA